AGGACGAACGCUGGCGGCGUGCUUAACACAUGCAAGUCGAGCGGUAAGGCCUUUCGGGGUACACGAGCGGCGAACGGGUGAGUAACACGUGGGUGAUCUGCCCUGCACUUCGGGAUAAGCCUGGGAAACUGGGUCUAAUACCGGAUAUGACCUCCUAUCGCAUGGUGGGUGGUGGAAAGAUUUAUCGGUGCAGGAGUGGGCCCGACGGCCUACUCAGUCGUUUGUUGGUGGGUAAUGGCCGUACCAAGGCGACGACGGGUAGCCGACCUGAGAGGGUGACCGGCCACACGUGGAC
rnacentral:rRNA from 1 species